rnacentral:rRNA from 1 species
UGCAGUCGAGCGAAUCGACGGGAGCUUGCUCCCUGAGAUUAGCGGCGGACGGGUGAGUAACACGUGGGCAACCUGCCUAUAAGACUGGGAUAACUUCGGGAAACCGGAGCUAAUACCGGAUACGUUCUUUUCUCGCAUGAGAGAAGAUGGAAAGACGGUUUACGCUGUCACUUAUAGAUGGGCCCGCGGCGCAUUAGCUAGUUGGUGAGGUAAUGGCUCACCAAGGCGACGAUGCGUAGCCGACCUGAGAGGGUGAUCGGCCACACUGGGACUGAGACACGGCCCAGACUCCUACGGGAGGCAGCAGUAGGGAAUCUUCCGCAAUGGACGAAAGUCUGACGGAGCAACGCCGCGUGAACGAAGAAGGCCUUCGGGUCGUAAAGUUCUGUUGUUAGGGAAGAACAAGUACCAGAGUAACUGCUGGUACCUUGACGGUACCUAACCAGAAAGCCACGGCUAACUACGUGCCAGCAGCCGCGGUAAUACGUAGGUGGCAAGCGUUGUCCGGAAUUAUUGGGCGUA